UGGAGCAUGUGGUUUAAUUCGACGCAACGCGAGAACUUACCAGGCUUGACAUCCCUGACCGCGUAUGAAGUACGUUUUCACCCUCGGGUGACAGGGAGACAGGUGGUGCAUGGUUGUCGUCAGCUCGUGUCGUGAGAUGUUGGGUUAAGUCCCGCAACGAGCGCAACCCCUAUUGUUAGUUGCCAUCAUUCAGUUGGGCACUCUAGCGAGACUGCCGGUAAUAAACCGGAGGAAGGUGGGGAUGACGUCAAAUCAUCAUGCCCCUUAUGACCUGGGCUACACACGUGCUACAAUGGUUGGUACAACGAGUUGCGAGUCGGUGACGGCGAGCUAAUCUCUUAAAGCCAAUCUCAGUUCGGAUUGUAGGCUGCAACUCGCCUACAUGAAGUCGGAAUCGCUAGUAAUCGCGGAUCAGCACGCCGCGGUGAAUACGUUCCCGGGCCUU
rnacentral:rRNA from 1 species